rnacentral:lncRNA from 1 species
UUUCAGGAGGAUCCCUAAUUUCUGCUGAGGUUAUAAAACAAUGCAAGACCUUAUACUUCACCAUUGCUUUUGCUUUGUGCAUCAAUUGGAUGCAACACAUAUAGGAUUUUUUUAUCUAUUGACUUGUGCAAUUUGUUGGUUUUACUAACCAGAUGUGUAAUCUAUGGAAACGGUAUUUAUACUUUCUUGGAGUCUUUCUUUUCUUAACCUUUAGUUGUGGUAGAGAAUUUGGAGUCCUCUUGGUAUAAUGUAAGUAUAUUUGAAAUCACUUUCUUCUCAGUACAUUGAAUAUUGCAUCUUCAAUCGUCCUCAAGACUGAUGGAAGUUUCAUAGUGGCGGUUAU